AUCUUGCACCCUUGUGCGCGCCAUCGUAUGAAACCCUGCAGGAGCACCAGCGGUCCGGAGAAGCCUCCCUUCGGCCGAAAAACAGCAGCCGGGCAGCAACACAGACAUAGCAGGUAGCUGCUUCGUACAGGCCAAGGGCUCUCGCCACGCCGGAGCCUCCCGAGUGUUGGAAGCGAUUGCCGCAAGUCUCAACAAGGAUGCGAGGGCUGAGGGAGCCAGGGAAGCGAGACCUGCUGCUGCUCAGUAGAGCAUCUGCAAUGCUGCCAGAUGCAACUUCCACUUCAUCUCCUUCAGAGAUAAAAAUCUCUUCAUAAAUCUGAAGAAGCAGUUCUUGAUUGCACAAAAAAAAGGAGGAGGGGAAGGCAGCAAAAACCACCUUAUAUGCAGAGCUGACAAGAAUCAAACUGUAGAACAAUCAGUUCUGGCUGUUUCUGCUGAACUCCCCUGACCCCACGAGGGCCUGACUAAUAGAGGAGGCCUUCAAAGUGUCUCCCUCCACUGCAUCUUGGCACAGGAGUCACUUUUUUCCUCUGUUGACUGCACAUGGAGUCUUUUGGUAUCAUUCUUUCCUCUUGAGUUAACAUCCCUGUGUACUUCUAAGAUAUUUUAUGUUUGUCAUUCUCCAUUAUGGCUUGCUUUCUCCCUCUGCUUCCUUUGCAGGCCACGUACCAGUGGGACCAGCAGUACCCAGCUGGCACCCUGGGGUGCCCAGCUUGCCCCUCUGGGACACCUUGACCCCAGCGGCAGGGCAGCAGUGGUCAGUGGUGCCUGUGUCACAUUCCAUUCGAGGUCACUCCAGAAGAAGGGAAGAGAGGAGUUCGAGGCUACAACACACACAUUAAAAAGCAAUCUCCCAGCCUUUCUCACUGACAGUUGUCUUUUGGUUUUUUUCCCACUUUGGGUAGCUUUCCACUUUUCAGAGGUAAUUUUUUUUUUCCAAAAGAAGGAGACAAGUAUUUUGA